rnacentral:rRNA from 1 species
UGUAAGCGUAUACCAAAGCUGUUGCAGUUAAAACGCUCGUAGUCGGAAUUUGGCAGUUCCGGAUGUGUGCACGUCGUGUGCGCACUUCGCGGGGAUUGCUUUUGUGGUCUUGCGUAGGAUGAGGCACUUUUAUUAGUGAACGUCCUCACGCAACCACUUUUUACUGUGAGAAAAUCAGAGUGCUCAAAGCAGGCAUUUGCCGUGAAUGUAUUAGCAUGGAAUAAUAGAAUAGGACUUGGUUCUAUUUUGUUGGUUUGUUGGGACUGAGUAAUGAUUAAGAGGGACAGUUGGGGGCAUUUGUAUUUCGGUGCUAGAGGUGAAAUUCUUAGAUUACCGAAAGACAAACUGCUGCGAAAGCGUCUGCCAAGGAUGUUUUCAUUGA